UAAAAUGUUGUCAUAUAUGUAUAAACUAAACAUUUUUCUUAGAUUACAUGUAUACGUGUCUAUCUUAGACACUAUAAAAAUCUAUACUUUCGUAAAAAGUGAUUCAUUUUCUAGGUAUUUCUAAACAAACGAGACACACUUUUAGAAAACUAUAAUAGGUAUAGUUUUACAAGAAUAUUGCUAACUUUUACAUACUAGAAACACAAUUUUCAAGAAGUCACUUUCGUAUACAAGAACAAACGAACAUUUUAACACGUAAAUCUGUUUUUAUACUAAGAUUUGUGAGACAUUAACUUCACGUACGUUCGAGUACACAUUUCAAGUC
rnacentral:lncRNA from 1 species